GAUGAACGCUGGCGGCAUGCCUAAUACAUGCAAGUCGAGCGAACAGACGAGGAGCUUGCUCCUCUGACGUUAGCGGCGGACGGGUGAGUAACACGUGGAUAACCUACCUAUAAGACUGGGAUAACUUCGGGAAACCGGAGCUAAUACCGGAUAAUAUAUUGAACCGCAUGGUUCAAUAGUGAAAGACGGUUUUGCUGUCACUUAUAGAUGGAUCCGCGCCGCAUUAGCUAGUUGGUAAGGUAACGGCUUACCAAGGCGACGAUGCGUAGCCGACCUGAGAGGGUGAUCGGCCACACUGGAACUGAGACACGGUCCAGACUCCUACGGGAGGCAGCAGUAGGGAAUCUUCCGCAAUGGGCGAAAGCUUGACGGAGCAACGCCGCGUGAGUGAUGAAGGUCUUCGGAUCGUAAAACUCUGUUAUUAGGGAAGAACAAAUGUGUAAGUAACUAUGCACGUCUUGACGGUACCUAAUCAGAAAGCCACGGCUAACUACGUG
rnacentral:rRNA from 1 species